rnacentral:rRNA from 1 species
GAUGAACGCUGGCGGCGUGCCUAAUACAUGCAAGUCGAGCGAACAGACGAGGAGCUUGCUCCUCUGACGUUAGCGGCGGACGGGUGAGUAACACGUGGAUAACCUACCUAUAAGACUGGGAUAACUUCGGGAAACCGGAGCUAAUACCGGAUAAUAUAUUGAACCGCAUGGUUCAAUAGUGAAAGACGGUUUUGCUGUCACUUAUAGAUGGAUCCGCGCCGCAUUAGCUAGUUGGUAAGGUAACGGCUUACCAAGGCAACGAUGCGUAGCCGACCUGAGAGGGUGAUCGGCCACACUGGAACUGAGACCCGGUCCAGACUCCUACGGGAGGCAGCAGUAGGGAAUCUUCCGCAAUGGGCGAAAGCCUGACGGAGCAACGCCGCGUGAGUGAUGAUGGUCUUCGGAUCGUAAAACUCUGUUAUUAGGGAAGAACAAAUGUGUAAGUAACUAUGCACGUCUUGACGGUACCUAAUCAGAAAGCCACGGCUAACUACGUG